rnacentral:rRNA from 1 species
UGGGGAAUAUUGGACAAUGGGGGCAACCCUGAUCCAGCAAUGCCGCGUGUGUGAAGAAGGUCUUCGGAUUGUAAAGCACUUUCGACGGGGACGAUGAUGACGGUACCCGUAGAAGAAGCCCCGGCUAACUUCGUGCCAGCAGCCGCGGUAAUACGAAGGGGGCUAGCGUUGCUCGGAAUGACUGGGCGUAAAGGGCGUGUAGGCGGUUUACACAGUCAGAUGUGAAAUCCCCGGGCUUAACCUGGGAGCUGCAUUUGAUACGUGUAGACUAGAGUGUGAGAGAGGGUUGUGGAAUUCCCAGUGUAGAGGUGAAAUUCGUAGAUAUUGGGAAGAACACCGGUGGCGAAGGCGGCAACCUGGCUCAUGACUGACGCUGAGGCGCGAAAGCGUGGGAAGCAAACAGGAUUAGAUACCCUGGUAGUCCACGCUGUAAACGAUGUGUGCUAGAUGUUGGGUAACUUUGUUAUUCAGUGUCGCAGUUAACGCGUUAAGCACACCGCCU